rnacentral:rRNA from 1 species
AGAGUUUGAUCCUGGCUCAGGACGAACGCUGGCGGCGUGCCUAAUACAUGCAAGUAGAACGCUGAAGAGAGGAGCUUGCUCUUCUUGGAUGAGUUGCGAACGGGUGAGUAACGCGUAGGUAACCUACCUUGUAGCGGGGGAUAACUAUUGGAAACGAUAGCUAAUACCGCAUAACAAUGAAUGACCCAUGUUAUUUAUUUGAAAGGGGCAAUUGCUCCACUACAAGAUGGACCUGCGUUGUAUUAGCUAGUAGGUGAGGUAACGGCUCACCUAGGCGACGAUACAUAGCCGACCUGAGAGGGUGAUCGGCCACACUGGGACUGAGACACGGCCCAGACUCCUACGGGAGGCAGCAGUAGGGAAUCUUCGGCAAUGGGGGCAACCCUGACCGAGCAACGCCGCGUGAGUGAAGAAGGUUUUCGGAUCGUAAAGCUCUGUUGUAAGUCAAGAACGAGUGUGAGAGUGGAAAGUUCACACUGUGACGGUAGCUUACCAGAAAGGGACGGCUAACUACGUGCCAGCAGCCGCGGUAAUACGUAGGUCCCGAGCGUUGUCCGGAUUUAUUGGGCGUAAAGCGAGCGCAGGCGGUUUGAUAAGUCUGAAGUUAAAGGCUGUGGCUCAACCAUAGUUCGCUUUGGAAACUGUCAAACUUGAGUGCAGAAGGGGAGAGUGGAAUUCCAUGUGUAGCGGUGAAAUGCGUAGAUAUAUGGAGGAACACCGGUGGCGAAAGCGGCUCUCUGGUCUGUAACUGACGCUGAGGCUCGAAAGCGUGGGGAGCGAACAGGAUUAGAUACCCUGGUAGUCCACGCCGUAAACGAUGAGUGCUAGGUGUUGGAUCCUUUCCGGGAU